AGCUUUGCACAGUGGCUGUAUCGUAGCCAAUGAGGUUUAUCCGAGGUGCAAUUAUUGCUAAUGAAAACUUUUCUCUAACGCAGAAAGGAUGUGACAUAUAGUCAGCCUUGGCAAUGUUUGAGAGUCUCUACAGAGA